rnacentral:rRNA from 1 species
GUCGACGUCUUUUUGCCGCAAGGCAGAAGGUAGUGGCGGACGGCUGAGUAACACAUAGGGACUUACCCCUUUUUGAAGGAUAGCCCAUCGAAAGGUGGGAUAAUACUUCAUGGUAUAGGUACCGUAAGGUAUUUAUUAAAGAGAUUAACUUCUCGAAAAGGGAUGGACCUGUGGCUUAUCAGAUAGUUGGUGGGGUAACGGCCUACCAAGUCUACGACGAGUAGCUGGCCUGAGAAGGUGGUCAGCCAGAGGGGGACUGAGACACGGCCCCCACUCCUACGGGAGGCAGCAAUCAGGAAUAGUCGGCAAUGGACGAAAGUCUGACCGCGCGACACCGCGUGUAGGAUUAAGCUCUAACGAGCGUAAACUACUGUGAUAGAGGAAGAAAGUCCACCUAUGGUGGACCUGACGGUACUCUAUAAGAAAGGGGCCGCUAACUGCGUGCCAGAAGCGUCGGUAAUACGUGGGCCCCAAACAUUAUCCGGUUUUACUGGGUGUAAAAAGUAGUGUAGGUGUCUUGAUAAGUCUUGUUUUAAAUACUGUGGCUCAACCAUAGAAAAGGGCAAGAUACUAUUAAGAUAGAGUUUGCUUUAGAGAAACUGGAACUCAGGGAGGAGUAGUGAAAUGCGUUGAUACCCUGNGGAACACCAGUGGCGAAGGCNAGUUUCUGAAAGCAGACUGACACUGAGACACGAAAGCUAGGGUAGCGAAGCAGAUUAGAGACCUGCGUAGUCCUAGCCCUAAACGUAUGCUUGCUAGCCGCAUUUUCCCCU